rnacentral:tRNA from 1 species
UCUCAAACCACAUUCGAUUCCUUCAAUAAAAAGUUGUCGACCGAUUCGAGAGCCGUGUGAGCAGUGGGCGCAUA